rnacentral:sRNA from 1 species
GACAAAAAAGGCCUUCUGAGCAACAGUUACUUUCUGGCCAGAUCAGAGACAGACUCAAAAAAUGACUUUUCAGGCAGUUACAGCUGACAAAGCCUCAGAGUCUCCUGGGUUUUGUCAUCUGUCCUUUUCAGGCUUCCCACCAGAGCUCUGCCCCCUGGUCUUGUGGAGAUCCACCUGAUAUUUCUGUUGAUUGUCUUCAUGUGUAUAACAUUACUGAUUGCCAGCCUCAUCUGCCUUACUUUACCAGUAUUUGCUGGCCGUUGGUUAAUGUCAUUUUGGACGGGGACUGCCAAAAUCCAUGAGCUCUACACAGCUGCUUGUGGUCUCUAUGUUUGCUGGCUAACCAUAAGGGCUGUGACGGUGAUGGUGGCAUGGAUGCCUCAGGGACGCAGAGUGAUCUUCCAGAAGGUUAAAGAGUGGUCUCUCAUGAUCAUGAAGACUUUGAUAGUUGCGGUGCUGUUGGCUGGAGUUGUCCCUCUCCUUCUGGGGCUCCUGUUUGAGCUGGUCAUUGUUGCUCCCCUGAGGGUUCCCUUGGAUCAGACUCCUCUUUUUUAUCCAUGGCAGGUAAAUGAGGCUCAGCAGCCACAGAAAGGAAGUUAAGGCAGAGCAGUCAGAACACAUGCCAGUUUGACAGCACUGCUUGCAGAGCCAUGAGCUUCCAGAAAGAAGAGCAGAC